UACAGAGGUGCCAAGCGUUAGGCGGAAUCACUGGGCUUAAAGCGCGUGUAGGUGGACGGGUAAGUAUCUUGUGAAAUCCCACAGCUCAACUGUGGAACUGCUGGAUAUACUGCUUGUCUUGAGGCAUUCAGGGGCAACCGGAACAAAUGGUGGAGCGGUGAAAUGCGUAGAUAUCAAGAGGAACACCUGAGGGGAAGACGGGUUGCUGGGCCGACACUGACGCUGAGUGCGCGAAAGCCAGGGGAGCAAACGGG
rnacentral:rRNA from 1 species